rnacentral:RNase_P_RNA from 1 species
AAAGUAAAUCGGGCAAUCGCGUCACCAUGUCGCUCUCGAGCGACGUGGCGGGGAGGAAAGUCCGGACAUUCAUCCCGAGCAAUCGGGAAAAGGUAGCGGGUAACCCCCGUCUAGGGAAACCUACGAGGUGCGAGCAGAGACGCUUUGUUCUGUAAAGAACAAAGCGCCCUUCCGAAGCCAAUGGCGAAGGAGGGCGAACGUAGUCAUAAGCAAGGGCCAGCCUUCGCUCUUAGGAGCUACGGCAUGGUCUUCGCCGAAGGCUACGAUGAAACGGCAAAAUCCUUACCUGGAUGCAAGGUCGUGUCUUGUUCUACACUAGUAAGAGCAAGAAGAACCGCAAAGAUUUUAGCAGCAAUGCUAAAACAAGAUAAAUGAUUGUCACAAUUUUGUUUCGCCUCACCGGCGGAUUACAAUUUUGAUACAGAAUCCGGCUUAUAGAUUUACUUUGAUA